GACGAACGCUGGCGGCGUGCUUAACACAUGCAAGUCGAGCGGUAAGGCCCUUUCGGGGGUACACGAGCGGCGAACGGGUGAGUAACACGUGGGUGACCUGCCCUUAGCUCUGGGAUAAGCCUGGGAAACUGGGUCUAAUACCGGAUAUGACUCCAUGACGCAUGUUGUGGGGUGGAAAGCCUUGUGCGGCUAGGGAUGGGCCCGCGGCCUAUCAGCUUGUUGGUGGGGUGAUGGCCACCAAGGCGACGACGGGUAGCCGGCCUGAGAGGGCGACCGGCCACACUGGGACUGAGACACGGCCCAGACUCCUACGGGAGGCAGCAGUGGGGAAUCUUGCGCAAUGGGCGAAAGCCUGACGCAGCGACGCCGCGUGAGGGAUGACGGCCUGG
rnacentral:rRNA from 1 species